UACAGAGGUGGCAAGCGUUGUUCGGAAUUACUGGGCGUAAAGGGCGCGUAGGCGGCCAUCUAAGUCAGACGUGAAAUCCCCCGGCUUAACCUGGGAACUGCGUCUGAUACUGGAAGGCUUGAGUAUGGGAGAGGGAUGUAGAAUUCCAGGUGUAGCGGUGAAAUGCGUAGAUAUCUGGAGGAAUACCGGUGGCGAAGGCGGGUCUCUGGGCAGUAACUGACGCUGAGGAGCGAAAGCGUGGGGAGCAAACAGG
rnacentral:rRNA from 1 species